GCGGCAGACGGGUGAGUAACACGUGGGAACGUACCCUUUGGUUCGGAAUAACGCUGGGAAACUAGCGCUAAUACCGGAUACGCCCUUGGCCUAUGGCCCUGGGGAAAGGCUUGCUGCCGAAGGAUCGGCCCGCGUCUGAUUAGCUAGUUGGUGGGGUAAUGGCCUACCAAGGCGACGAUCAGUAGCUGGUCUGAGAGGAUGAUCAGCCACACUGGGACUGAGACACGGCCCAGACUCCUACGGGAGGCAGCAGUGGGGAAUAUUGGACAAUGGGCGCAAGCCUGAUCCAGCCAUGCCGCGUGAGUGAUGAAGGCCUUAGGGUUGUAAAGCUCUUUUGUCCGGGACGAUAAUGACGGUACCGGAAGAAUAAGCCCCGGCUAACUUCGUGCCAGCAGCCGCGGUAAUACGAAGGGGGCUAGCGUUGCUCGGAAUCACUGGGCGUAAAGGGCGCGUAGGCGGCCAUUCAAGUCGGGGGUGAAAGCCUGUGGCUCAACCACAGAAUUGCCUUCGAUACUGUUUGGCUUGAGUUUGGUAGAGGUUGGUGGAACUGCGAGUGUAGAGGUGAAAUUCGUAGAUAUUCGCAAGAACACCAGUGGCGAA
rnacentral:rRNA from 1 species